UGGGGAAUUUUGGACAAUGGGGGCAACCCUGAUCCAGCCAUCCCGCGUGUGCGAUGAAGGCCUUCGGGUUGUAAAGCACUUUUGGCAGGAAAGAAACGUCAUGGGUUAAUACCCCGUGAAACUGACGGUACCUGCAGAAUAAGCACCGGCUAACUACGUGCCAGCAGCCGCGGUAAUACGUAGGGUGCAAGCGUUAAUCGGAAUUACUGGGCGUAAAGCAUGCGCAGGCGGUUCGGAAAGAAAGAUGUGAAAUCCCAGAGCUCAACUUUGGAACUGCAUUUUUAACUACCGGGCUAGAGUGUGUCAGAGGGAGGUGGAAUUCCGCGUGUAGCAGUGAAAUGCGUAGAUAUGCGGAGGAACACCGAUGGCGAAGGCAGCCUCCUGGGAUAACACUGACGCUCAUGCACGAAAGCGUGGGGAGCAAACAGG
rnacentral:rRNA from 1 species